rnacentral:lncRNA from 1 species
UGAUUGAUGUUACAGGGAUAAAAUAUCCACGAUGAACUUUUAAAUUCAUAUAUAGAAGAUAGUAGUUUGCAUUCUCUACUUAACUCUUCUAAUGAAUUGUUGUUUCCGCUGCGAAGAUUGAUUUAAAACUGGUUGUCUAUUGUAUUCUAUUAGAUUUUUCCCUGUUGGAGACUAACGAUAAUUUGUUGUAUAUUAUCUUAGUCAUAAUAUUCUUUACUG